CAGCCGCCGCGGUAAUACGAAGGGUGCAAGCGUUACUCGGAAUUACUGGGCGUAAAGCGUGCGUAGGCGGUUCGUUAAGUCUGUUGUGAAAGCCCCGGGCUCAACCUGGGAAUGGCAAUGGAUACUGGCGAGCUAGAGUGUGUCAGAGGAUGGUGGAAUUCCCGGUGUAGCGGUGAAAUGCGUAGAGAUCGGGAGGAACAUCAGUGGCGAAGGCGGCCAUCUGGGACAACACUGACGCUGAGGCACGAAAGCGUGGGGAGCAAACAGGAUUAGAGACCCCUGUAGUCCCUGUCUCUUAUAA
rnacentral:rRNA from 1 species